GAAAAUACGCCACCCUUUUUUUCCAAGUGCCCAAACACUUGAAUGAUUCAAUUAAUCCGCAUCUUAGAUCUAAUUUGUUUGUGUUUAAAUUUCAAUCCAAUCCAUUAUUAAAUUCAAGUGUUUUAGCGAUUGACUUUUUGUUUCGUGACAGCUUCGUCGGAAUUUGCUUCGUUUCCUCAUUUGAAAGUUUUGGAGGUCCGGUGUGUUCGUUUUUCGCAGACCGCUUGAGUUCGCUGCCGUCAUGUUCCAGUCCAGAAAAUUGCCUGCCCGGUUUGUGACCGCGAAGAUGAGCAUCACCAUAAGGCUGUGUCCUCGGGCUCGGGCUCCGUAUGGCCAGCGGAAGGGCUUGGUCUCCCGGGCAGUAGCCAACUUUGAUGAUAAGGUUCCUUUCCGGACCCAUUUGGAAGGAUGCGAGAGAGCUGCAGAUGCCGUACCAGGUAGGCGGUGCCAGUGAUAAACAAGAUUUGGAUGCAUUCAACUCAGGGGCCAUGAUAUGCGUCAUUCGACUGGUCAAGGCACAGUUUGAUUCGAACCACCGCGGUUCUGCAUCAACAAGAAGAUUCCCCAUGGGGCCUCCAUCUCCGCCGGCACCGGUGCUUCACUCGCCGACGCUGAGAAACCUCCCAGGAAGUAGUGGUGGCGAACAAACCGAUCCCGACCAGGAAGAAAAAAAUAACAAAAUUUGUACACGCCAUGUUGAUAGAAAAUAAAAAAAAAACAUUUCAUUUCGCAACAUCUUCCUUACAUAAAAACAAAUCGAAAUCCAUUUCUAUUACAUGCAAACAUGCAUUGAUUAAAGAUAGAAAAGCCAUUUAAAACCAAUAAAUAUAAUAUAGUAUUUCAUGUGACACAAUACGUCAAAUUCAAGUGUUUUGCUAUUGAAUUGACAGCUAAUUUUGUUGCCCAAAAUUCAAGUGUUU